UCACAGCCGCAGGGGUGUCCCUCUCUGCACUGCAGCAUGCGCCGUGCUGUGCACGACGUGGUGUUCUGUGACCAGGGGGACAGGCAAGGACUGGUUCCAUUCAGCGUUUCCUGCAAUCUACCCUCAGCCUUUAAUAAAUCCUCACAUGUGCGUUCGUUUUCCACAUUCACCGUAGUGCACAGCAUGAGCUGCAGCUGAAGGGUGCGAGGUCCCAGGUUGGCUGGACAUGGACAUGGGCAGGGACUGCGGCAGAAGGAACAGUUCCAAUAACUGGACUGGUUGCAGUUCAAAUCACUCAAGAAAUGUGUCAAAUAAACGGCUUGGGAAUCCCUCUGUA